UGGGGAAUCUUAGACAAUGGGGGAAACCCUGAUCUAGCCAUGCCGCGUGAGCAAUGAAGGCCUUAGGGUUGUAAAGCUCUUUCAGCUGGGAAGAUAAUGACGGUACCAGCAGAAGAAGCCCCGGCUAACUCCGUGCCAGCAGCCGCGGUAAUACGGAGGGGGCUAGCGUUGUUCGGAAUUACUGGGCGUAAAGCGCACGUAGGCGGAUUAGUCAGUCAGAGGUGAAAUCCCAGGGCUCAACCCUGGAACUGCCUUUGAUACUGCUAGUCUUGAGGUCGAGAGAGGUGAGUGGAAUUCCGAGUGUAGAGGUGAAAUUCGUAGAUAUUCGGAGGAACACCAGUGGCGAAGGCGGCUCACUGGCUCGAUACUGACGCUGAGGUGCGAAAGCGUGGGGGAGCAAAACAGGAUUAGAUACCCUGGUAGUCCACGCCGUAAAACGAUGAAUGCCAGUCGUCGGGUUGCAUGCAAUUCGGUGACACACCUAACGGAUUAAGCAUUCCGCCUGGGGAGUACGGUCGCAAAGAUUAAAAACUCAAAUGAAUUGACGGGGGUCAUAGCUGUUUCCUG
rnacentral:rRNA from 1 species